AUCAAGAGAGAGAGAGAGAGAGAGCAAAAAGCAGUGGGAGAAGAAGAAGGCAACAAAAGAUUGGGAGGCAACCAGAAAAUUUCACACAAACUCAGGGACCCCUCUCUCCUUUUUCAUUUUUCCCACCCAAAUUUUCCCCUCUUCCCGCUGCUCUCUCUCUAUCUCAAAUAUACACACAGAAGCUUUCUCUCUCUCAUUGAUUUGAUUCUCCGCAAGUUCGGUAAGCUCUCUAUCUCCCCUCCAACAUGCAAUUUCUGCUCGCGUGAAUGCUUCGGUUCUAGGGUUUCUGGCUCGUCUUCGCCGUUAAAUUCGUAGCAUGAUUUGGAAAAAUGUCGUUGUUCCGAUUGCUGAGAGAGUAGGUUCGCUCUCCGGCGCCGAAUGCGAGGUGAUAUUCCGUGCGGUUUCGUUGACUUCCGUGGGUGUGUCUGUUCUACUCGCGACUGUAGAGGGGACAUUAGCUUUUGCAUGAGCCUGUUUUUGCGUAUCUGCGAGCUUGCUCUGUCGUUCCAGGCUUUCGCUCGAUUUGGCAAUUGUUGGAGUGGAGGUUGUAGUGAUGUUUAUGGAGCUAUGGACUUGUGAAAAAAUUGACUGGAGCGAGAGAUUUUCUAUUUAUCUCCUGUUUGACAAUUCAUGCUUAUUUUCUCACCUGUCAUGCCUUCUCAAAAGACCAUUUGCACGUGUUAUGGUUUCUUGCUCAGAGUCUGGGGACGAGGGGGCCUUCACAGUCAGGGUCAAAAUCACUCGGAUCCACUCGUGUUUCUGGUGAGAAGAUUGUGUAUCCAUGAGCGAUGCUGGAGUGUCCAUCACUUGAAUCAGUUUGGGGAUUGUUCGCGAGAAUGUGGCUGACUGGAUCCAUGGCGGGUCCACCAGCUUAGUAUCAUUUGUUUGUCAUCGGUCUUCACUUCCGACAUGCGUUUUUGCCUUCUUGAGAGGAAAAGGUGAAAUUGGUACCUUGAUGUAUUUUUUAUCGAUAUUCACUGCCUGACUUCAUACAUUAGCAACAAGCUAAUGGAGUGCAACAAAGAGGAGGCUGUCAGGGCAAAGGAAAUUGCAGAAGUUCGCAUGCGAAACAAUGACUUUGCAGGGGCAUUGCGCAUUGCACAGAAGGCCCGGCGUCUUUUCCCGGAGCUUGAGAACCUAUCCCAAAUCCUGGCUGUUUGCGAGAUUCAUUGUUCUGCACACACCAAAGUUUGUGGAUCUGAGCAUGAUUGGUAUGCGAUCCUACAGAUUGAAAAGUCGGCUGAUGAUAUAACUAUCAAGAAGCAGUACAGAAAGUUUGCUUUGUUACUUCAUCCUGAUAAAAAUAAAUUUACUGGUGCUGAGGCCGCUUUUAAGCUGAUUGUUGAAGCGAAUAGGGUGUUAACAGACCAGUUGCAGCGACAAUUAUACGACACUAAGGUUAAGAAUUUAGUGCAGCCACAGAAGCCUCCAGUUCAUCAACCAACUCGGUCUGGUGUCAGAAGAAGAAACGGAACCCGGAACCAAUCAGAGAGCCCUUCCAAUUCACAGUUUUCAAGUUCAAACACUGAUCAGCAGGGGCAGCAGCAGACUUUCUGGACCAGCUGCCCCUUAUGUAAUAUAAGGUAUCAGUAUUAUAAGCAAUUUGUGAAUAAAGCUUUGCGUUGUCAGACUUGCAAGAAAGCCUUUAUUGCCUAUGACUUCAGUACUCAAGGCAUGGCACCCGGACCACAGUGGAGUCAUUUUGCCAACCAGCCGGAUUUUUCAAAUUUUGGGUUCUCAAAAGCGACUCCUCAGGCUAAUAAUGGAGUUCCUCCUCCUAUGCAGUUCGCGGACAGGUUUUCGGAAUUUGUUCCACUAGGUAAACAAAAGGGGCAUGGUGAGGCUGCUGGCAGUUCGAGAGCUAAGGUGGGCAAUGAGUCUGUUGACGAGGGAGCUGGAACGAAAGCAGAUAGAAAGCCCUGCGGUAAUGCAGCAAGACCAACAGGAAUGGGUUCUCAAAGUACCACUGGCAGUAUGAAAGGUGGGAAUUCUGGGGUUGAAUUUGGUGGGACUUCUAAGAAUGUGAGUAGGAAUGACACUGUUGGAGAUGCUGGCACUUCAGAAGAUGGAAUUAAUCCUUCCCAGUCAAAUUCUGAACUCAAUGGAGCUAUGAGAUCUCAUCAAAAACAAACUCCCUCCAGGAAGUCUUCUCGCCUAAAGCAACAUGCAUCUUACAAUGACAAUUCAGUUAGUGACGACGACUUUGUUUGCCCACCAAAAAGGUCGAGGGCCGAUGGGGCGUCGGAUUCUGUGGAAGCUAAGAAAAAGCAAGGGACUGUUGAAGGCUGCAGUAAUGAUAGUUUUUCAACUUUUUCUAUUCCUGAAAAUUGCAUUAAUAAAGACAUUAAAAAUGAAAAAGUUCUUCCUCAGAAAGAAAGCUUAUCUGGGAAUGAUUCUGGGAUAAUGAAGCCUGAAGAGAAGAGAGGGGAAGCAGUUUCUGCAGAUGAGCAUAAUGAAUCCAACUGUAGUUCUGGUUUGGUACCUGGGCUGGAACCUCAAAUAGUUGUCUGCCCUGAUCCAGAGUUUAGUGAUUUCGAGAAGGAUAAAGCGCAAACCUGUUUUGCUGUUAAUCAAGUAUGGGCAUUGUAUGAUACAUUAGAUGGCAUGCCGAGAUUUUAUGCUCGGAUAAAGAAAGUGUUUUCUCCGGGUUUCAAGGUGCAAAUCACUUGGCUAGAGGCUGAUCCGGAUGACCAAGAUGAGAUUGAUUGGUCUGACCAGGAGUUGCCUGUUGCUUGUGGCAAGUACAGAACUGGGCACACGGAAGAAAUGGAAGAUCAUCUGAUGUUCUCUCACCAGAUAGAGUGUCUUAAGGGUGCUCGUAGAGGCUCUUUCCUGGUAUAUCCUAGAAAAGGGGAGAUAUGGGCCCUUUUUAAGAACUGGGAUAUAAAAUGGAGCUCCGAACCAGAGAAAUAUCUUCCUUGCAAGUAUGAAUAUGUGGAGAUCCUCUCAGAUUUUGUCAAGGACUGUGGCAUUAAGGUUGUGUAUUUGAGCAAGGUGAAAGGCUUUGUUUGCUUGUUUCAGCGAGUAGAUGCAUGUAAAGAUGCAGAUGCCUCAUUUGAAAUAGCUCCACGUGAGUUGUACCGGUUUGCUCAUCGAGUUCCAUCAUUUGUGAUGACUGGGAAUGAAAGACAAGGUGUUCCUGCCGGAUCUUUUGAACUUGAUCCUGCAGCUUUAGAUAUUGACGAGCUCAAAGAUACUGUGGAGAAGAAAUGUGCUGAUGCUGAUGUAAGGAAGCGUGGGCCUAAAAAUUCUACGGUAGAGAUGCCUGUAAGGAGGUCGCCAAGGGCUUUGAGCAAACAGCUGCAGUCCAAUAAAUGCUAGUGGAUCUACUGCCAAAGAAGGGAUGUAGAAGCAGUUUAUACUAAUGGCCACUUAACUUGGAAGUUGCAAGUAAUGUUCAGCAGCUUGACUGGGAAUGAACCUAUCUUCUGCAAGAUCAGAAUUCGGCUGUGCAGGUAUAGUUGGUCCUCAGGCACCACUCCUGCUUCAGGAAUUAUCCCCAAAAGAAUAAGAAAAGAUGCUUGACUGAUUCCCCUUGAAUUGUAACUAUAUUUUCUCAAGAGAGGGCGAAUACUGAGUUUUGAAACGGAAGACAAUGUUUUGGGGUAGAAGGGAGAUAGAGAUUGACUGCAUGGAAUUUUGAGGUAUUGGUAGAUGUACUAUUAGGUCCCCAACUGUUGGUAAAUGUUGAUGUUAUUUUCUUCUCGCCAAAGAAGUUUAUGCUAAUUUGACUAGAUAGUUUCUAUGAUUCUACCCUUAGUUAGAAGCCAUCUUGCUUUUGGAAGUUCCAUUGUGGAAUCUCAGAUGAGCUUAUCUGUUCCGACUUUGCUAUAUCUUUUAUGCUGGCUGUGGCUUUUUGAAUCUCUAUUUUAUUAAUGGUCUGAAGUUUCGGCUCA